rnacentral:rRNA from 1 species
UGUGGCCAAGUUUUUAAGGGCGCACGGUGGAUGCCUUGGCACCAGGAACCGAUGAAGGACGUGGGAGGCCACGAUAGGCCCCGGGGAGCUGUCAACCAAGCUUUGAUCCGGGGGUGUCCGAAUGGGGAAACCCGGCAGUCGUCAUGGGCUGUCACCCGCUGCUGAACACAUAGGCAGUGUGGAGGGAACGCGGGGAAGUGAAACAUCUCAGUACCCGCAGGAAGAGAAAACAACCGUGAUUCCGGGAGUAGUGGCGAGCGAAACUGGAUGAGGCCAAACCAGUCACGUGUGAUACCCGGCAGGGGUUGCGUGGUUGGGGUUGUGGGAUCUCUCUUUUACAGUCUGCCGGCUGUGAGACGAGUCAGAAACCGUUGAUGUAGGCGAAGGACAUGCGAAAGGUCCGGCGUAGAGGGUAAGACCCCCGUAGCUGAAACAUUAGCGGCUCGUUUGAGAGACACCCAAGUAGCACGGGGCCCGAGAAAUCCCGUGUGAAUCUGGCGGGACCACCCGUUAAGCCUAAAUAUUCCCUGGUGACCGAUAGCGGAUAGUACCGUGAGGGAAUGGUGAAAAGUACCGCGGGAGCGGAGUGAAAUAGUACCUGAAACCGUGUGCCUACAAGCCGUGGGAGCGUCGCACAGAGACUUGUCUCUGUGUCGUGACUGCGUGCCUUUUGAAGAAUGAGCCUGCGAGUUUGCGGUAUGUUGCGAGGUUAACCCGUGUGGGGAAGCCGUAGCGAAAGCGAGUCCGAAUAGGGCGUUGAGUAGCGUGCCCAAGACCCGAAGCGGAGUGAUCUAGCCAUGGGCAGGUUGAAGCGGAGGUAAGACUUCGUGGAGGACCGAACCCACCAGGGUUGAAAACCUGGGGGAUGACCUGUGGUUAGGGGUGAAAGGCCAAUCAAACUCCGUGAUAGCUGGUUCUCCCCGAAAUGCAUUUAGGUGCAGCGUCGUGUGUUUCUUGCCGGAGGUAGAGCACUGGAUAGGCGAUGGGCCCUACCGGGUUACUGACCUUAGCCAAACUCCGAAUGCCGGUAAGUGAGAGCGCGGCAGUGAGACUGUGGGGGAUAAGCUCCAUGGUCGAGAGGGAAACAGCCCAGAGCAUCGACUAAGGCCCCUAAGCGUGUGCUAAGUGGGAAAGGAUGUGGAGUCGCAGAGACAACCAGGAGGUUGGCUUAGAAGCAGCCACCCUUGAAAGAGUGCGUAAUAGCUCACUGGUCAAGUGAUUCCGCGCCGACAAUGUAGCGGGGCUCAAGCACACCGCCGAAGUCAUGUCAUUGCAGCAAUACUUCUAACGGAGGCUGUGAUGGGUAGGGGAGCGUCGUGUGCCGGGUGAAGCAGCCGCGGAAGCGAGUUGUGGACGGUUCACGAGUGAGAAUGCAGGCAUGAGUAGCGAUACAAGAGUGGGAAACUCUUGCGCCGAUUGACUAAGGGUUCCUGGGUCAAGCUGAUCUGCCCAGGGUAAGUCGGGACCUAAGGCGAGGCCGACAGGCGUAGUCGAUGGACAACCGGUUGAUAUUCCGGUACCCGCUUUGAAGCGCCAAACAUUGAAUCAGGCGAUGCUAAGUCCGUGAAGCCGCCGUGGAUCCUUCGGGUGAAGCGGAGUGGUGGAGCCGACGAACCAGACUUGUAGUAGG